UACGGAGGAUGCGAGCGUUAUCCGGAUUUAUUGGGUUUAAAGGGUGCGUAGGCGGAUCGUUAAGUCAGUGGUCAAAUUGAGGGGCUCAACCCCUUCCCGCCAUUGAAACUGGCGAUCUUGAGUGGAAGAGAAGUAUGCGGAAUGCGUGGUGUAGCGGUGAAAUGCAUAGAUAUCACGCAGAACCCCGAUAGCGAAGGCAGCAUGCCGGCUUCCGACUGACGCUGAAGCACGAAAGCGUGGGGAGCAAACAGG
rnacentral:rRNA from 1 species